rnacentral:rRNA from 1 species
AAACUGCGAAUGGCUCAUUAAAUCAGUUAUCGUUUAUUUGAUAGUACCUUACUACUUGGAUAACCGUGGUAAUUCUAGAGCUAAUACAUGCUAAAAACCCCGACUUCGGGAGGGGUGUAUUUAUUAGAUAAAAAACCAAUGCCCUUCGGGGCUCUUUGGUGAUUCAUGAUAACUUAACGGAUCGCAUGGCCUUGCGCCGGCGACGGUUCAUUCAAAUUUCUGCCCUAUCAACUUUCGAUGGUAAGGUAUUGGCUUACCAUGGUUUCAACGGGUAACGGGGAAUUAGGGUUCGAUUCCGGAGAGGGAGCCUGAGAAACGGCUACCACAUCCAAGGAAGGCAGCAGGCGCGCAAAUUACCCAAUCCCGACUCGGGGAGGUAGUGACAAUAAAUACUGAUACAGGGCUCUUUUGGGUCUUGUAAUCGGAAUGAGUACAAUUUAAACCCCUUAACGAGGAACAAUUGGAGGGCAAGUCUGGUGCCAGCAACCGCGGUAAUUCCAGCUCCAAUAGCGUAUAUUAAAGUUGUUGCAGUUAAAAAGCUCGUAGUUGAACCUUGGGCCUGGCUGGCCGGUCCGCCUCACCGCGUGUACUGGUCCGGCCGGGCCUUUCCUUCUGGAGAGCCGCAUGCCCUUCACUGGGUGUGCCGGGGAACCAGGACUUUUACUUUGAAAAAAUUAGAGUGUUCAAAGCAGGCCUUUGCUCGAAUACGUUAGCAUGGAAUAAUAGAAUAGGACGUGCGGUCCUAUUUUGUUGGUUUCUAGGACCGCCGUAAUGAUUAAUAGGGAUAGUCGGGGGCAUCAGUAUUCAAUUGUCAGAGGUGAAAUUCUUGGAUUUAUUGAAGACUAACUACUGCGAAAGCAUUUGCCAAGGAUGUUUUCAUUAAUCAGUGAACGAAAGUUAGGGGAUCGAAGACGAUCAGAUACCGUCGUAGUCUUAACCGUAAACUAUGCCGACUAGGGAUCGGGCGAUGUUUCUAUCUUGACUCGCUCGGCACCUUACGAGAAAUCA